UACGUAGGGGGCAAGCGUUGUCCGGAUUUAUUGGGCGUAAAGAGCGUGUAGGCGGCCAGGUAGGUCUGGUGUGAAAACUCGAGGCUUAACCUCGAGAUGUCAUCGGAAACCAUCUGGCUAGAGUCCGGAAGAGGAGAGUGGAAUUCCUGGUGUAGCGGUGAAAUGCGCAGAUAUCAGGAAGAACACCUAUGGCGAAGGCAGCACUCUGGGACGGUACUGACGCUGAGACGCGAAAGCGUGGGGAGCGAACAGG
rnacentral:rRNA from 1 species